AUGGAAAAAGCAAGAGAGUUCCAGAAAAACAUCUCUUUCUGCUUUAUUGACUAUGCCAAAGCCUUUGACUGUGUGGAUCACAACAAACUGUGGAAAAUUCUGAAAGAGAUUGGAAUACCAGACCAUCUAACCUGCCUCUUGAGAAAUCUGUAUGCAGGUCAGGAAGCAACAGUUAGAACUGGACAUGGAACAACAGACUGGUUCCAAAUAGGAAAAGGAGUACGUCAAGGCUGUAUAUUGUCAUCCUGCUUAUUUAACUUCUAUGCAGAGUACAUCAUGAGAAACGCUGGACUGGAAGAAACACAAGCUGGAAUCAAGGUUGCCGGGAGAAAUAUCAAUAAGCUCAGAUAUGCAGAUGACACCACCCUUGUGGCAGAAAGUGAAGAGGAGCUAAAAAGACUCUUGAUGAAAGUGAAAGAAGAGAGUGAAAAAGUUGGCUUAAAGCUCAACAUUCACAUAAUGAAGAUCAUGGCAUCUGGUCCCAUCACUUCAUGGCAAAUAGAUGGGGAAACAGUAGAAACAGUGUCAGACUUUAUUUUGGGGGGCUCCAAAAUCACUGCAGAUGGCGACUGCAGCCAUGAAAUUAUAAGACACUUACUCCUUGGAAGAAAAGUUAUGACCAACCUAGAUAGCAUAUUCAAAAGCAGAGACAUUACUUUGCCGACUAAGGUCCGUCUAGUCAAGGCUAUGGUUUUUCCUGUGGUCAUGUAUGGAUGUGAGAGUUGCACUGUGAAGAAGGCUGAGCGCCGAAGAAUUGAUGCUUUUGAACUGUGGUGCUGGGGAAGACUCUUGAGAGUCCAUUGGACUGCAAGGAGAUCCAAUCAGUCCAUAUCGAAGGAGAUCAGCCCUGGGAUUUCUUUGGAAGGAAUGAUGCUAAAGCUGAAGCUCCAGUACCUUGGCCACCUCAUGCGAAGAGCUGACUCACUGGAAAAGACUCUGAUGCUGGGAGGGAUUGAGGGCAGGAGGAGAAGGGGACAACCCAGGAUGAGAUGGCUGGAUGACAUCACAGACUCAAUGGACAUGAGUCUGAGUGAACUCUGGGAGAUGGUGAUGGACAGGGAGGCCUGGUGUGCUGCGAUUCAUGGGGUCACAAAGAGUCAGACACGACUGAGCGACUGA
rnacentral:lncRNA from 1 species